GCUUACGACCACACCGGCCUGAGUACGCCUGAUCUCGUCUGAUCUCGGAAGCUAAGCAGGGUCGGGCCUGGUUAGUACUUGGAUGGAGACCGCUGGGAAUACCAGGUGCUGUAAGCU
ensembl:rRNA 5S_rRNA 5S ribosomal RNA